rnacentral:lncRNA from 1 species
CAUUUAAUCCAACAAUGCAUCCCCCCACUCCCCCUUUUUGAAACUAUUGCUUUUUAGGUCCCACUUUUGGCAAAACAAACACGUACGUAGUUAAUCAAAUUGUAGUUUAUCUCCUCUCUUUUUUGUCAAAAUAAAAGGUCAAUUUGCAUAAAAAAUUCAUUGAUUUUAUAUUUUCGCAAAAUCGGGUCGUUUUUUAGAUUAUGCAGAUUCUUUUUAGAUUUCUAGAAAUCUAACUGAAAUAAUUUUAUUUUUCUCUCUUUCUUUUCUCUUAUCUCGCUCAUAUCCUUUGACGCCCUUGUCACUAUCAUUGCCCCUUUUCUCUCCCUCCUCCUCCACCGCUUUCCUCUCCCUUCUCCUCUCUCCUAUUGCUGCCGUCACAGAUCUCAAACACAGACGUGAGGGUGAUGAUCUUGAAGGAGUUGCACUUGAUGACUAUUGUAAUGUACCAUAUUAUAAUAUAAAAUUAAGUGUAAAUAAAAAUAGUGGAAGAUACUAUUUUUAUUGGACUUAAAGAAGUAAAAUGUAAGUCUGAAAUGACUCGUGCUGAAAUCGGAAUGAAAACAGGAGAUUUAGAAUUUUCUGUAUAGAACGGAGCUGAUAUUUUAGUAGAAAAUUCAAAGUGUCAGAAAAAUAUGAAAAUAUGGGAAUAUGUCAGGAUUAUUUUUAUGAGGCUAGAUUUAAAGUUUCAUAUCAUUCCGACACCCAGAAAGUGAAAAAAUAAAAUUCGAUUGCUAUCUGCUAGAGAUUACAGUUCGGUAGAGCUUUCGGUGACCAAAAGUGGUCCAAACUGGAAAGUUAAGAUAUUUUAUUUCUUAUUAGCCUAAACCGAGUAUGACUGUCAAAUUUGAGCGCAAACGGACAUUCAGAAGGGCUCUGGCGAAAAGGAACAGAUUCUGAGCUGCUAAACUGCUAGUAUGAAUAGUGUUUUGAAGGUGUUUACUAUAAAAGGAGUUGUCUUCUUCUUCUUCUUCUCCUUCAACCGAGCAACACACACACACACACACACACCAGCACACACGCAUGGAGAGGGAGAGAGAAACCCUCCCUUUCUCUCUCUAAAUAUCUGUCUCGUCUCUCUAGAUCUCUCUCUCAAGUUCGCGGCGUUG